UAGAGUUUGAUCCUGGCUCCGGACGAACGCUUGCGGCGUGCUUUAUACAUGCAAGUGGAAGGAUGAAGUUCCUUCGGGAAUGGAUUAGUGGCGAACGGGUGAGGAACACGUGAGAAACCUGCCUUUCAUUCUGGGAUAACACCGGGAAACCGGUGCUAAUACCGGAUACUCCGUCUUGGCGGCAUCGCCGAGCCGGGAAAAAAUUUUGAUGAAAGAUGGUCUCGCGGCCUAUCAGCUAGUUGGUGAGGUAAAGGCUCACCAAGGCGACGACGGGUAGCCGGCCUGAGAGGGCGACCGGCCACACUGGGACUGAGACACGGCCCAGACUCCUACGGGAGGCAGCAGUAGGGAAUAUUGGGCAAUGGGCGCAAGCCUGACCCAGCGACGCCGCGUGAGGGAUGAAGGUCUUCGGAUUGUAAACCUCUUUCAGUAGGGAAGAAGCGAAAGUGACGGUACCUAAAGAAGAAGCACCGGCUAACUAUGUGCCAGCAGCCGCGGUAAUACAUAGGGUGCAAGCGUUGUCCGGAAUUAUUGGGCGUAAAGAGCUCGUAGGUUGUUUGUCGCGUCGAUUGUGAAAAUCUGAGGCUCAACCUCAGACCUGCAGUCGAUACGGGCAGACUAGAGUGUGGUAGGGGAGACUGGAAUUCCUGGUGUAGCGGUGGAAUGCGCAGAUAUCAGGAGGAACACCAAUGGCGAAGGCACAUCUCUGGGCCGUAACUGACGCUGAGGAGCGAAAGCGUGGGGAGCGAACAGGAUUAGAUACCCUGGUAGUCCACGCCGUAAACGGUGGGUGCUAGUUGUGGGUUCCAUUCCACGGAAUCCGUGACGAAGUUAACACAUUAAGCACCCCGCCUGGGGAGUACGAUCGCAAGAUUA
rnacentral:rRNA from 1 species